AGAAUCAACGCUGGCGGCGUGCCUAACACAUGCAAGUCGAACGAGAAAGUGGAGCAAUCCAUGAGUAAAGUGGCGCACGGGUGAGUAACACGUGACUAACCUACCCUUGAGUGGGGGAUAACCUAAAGAAUCUGGGCUAAUACCGCAUAAUACCUUCGGGUCAAAGGAGCAAUUCGCUUAAGGAGGGGUCGCGGCCGAUUAGUUAGUUGGCGGGGUAAUGGCCCACCAAGACUGUGAUCGGUAUCCGGCCUGAGAGGGCGCACGGACACACUGGAACUGAAACACGGUCCAGACUCCUACGGGAGGCAGCAGUGGGGAAUUUUGCGCAAUGGGGGAAACCCUGACGCAGCAACGCCGCGUGGAGGAUGAAGUCCCUUGGGACGUAAACUCCUUUCGAUCGGGACGAUUAUGACGGUACCGAGAGAAGAAGCCCCGGCUAACUUCGCGCCAGCAGCCGC
rnacentral:rRNA from 1 species